CCAAUAGCGUAUAUUAAAGUUGUUGCAGUUAAAAAGCUCGUAGUUGAAUUUCGGGAUCAGUACGCUGGUCGUGCCUUCGGUAUGCACUGGUGUCACUGGUUCCUCCCUUCUGAAGAACCGUCAUGCCAUUCAGUUGGUGUGGCGGGGAAUCAGGACUGUUACUUUGAAAAAAUUAGAGUGUUUAAAGCAGGCUCGCGCUU
rnacentral:rRNA from 1 species